AAAGACUUAGUCCUAACCUUGCUAUUGAUUUUUGCUAGACAUAUACAUGCAAGUAUCUGCACGCCAGUGAAAAUGCCCUAACAUCUUUGACAAGAAAAAGGAGCAGGUAUCAGGCACACCCAUGAGUAGCCCAAAACACCUUGCCACAGCCACACCCCCACGGGUAUUCAGCAGUAAUUAACCUUAAGCAAUAAGUGUAAACUUGACUUAGCCAUAGCAAUCCUCAGGGUUGGUAAAUCUUGUGCCAGCCACCGCGGUCAUACAAGAAACCCGAAUCAAUAGCCAACCGGCGUAAAGAGUGGCCAUAUGUUAUCCUCAUUACCUAAGAUCGAAGUGCAACUAAGCUGUCAUAAGCCCAAGAUCCACUUAAGGCCCCCUCCCAACCAUCUUAGCCUAACGACUAAUUUCACCCCACGAAAGCCAGGACACAAACUGGGAUUAGAUACCCCACUAUGCCUGGCCCUAAAUCUAGAUGCCUGCAUACCCAUGCAUCCGCCCGAGAACUACGAGCACAAACGCUUAAAACUCUAAGGACUUGGCGGUGCCCCAAACCCACCUAGAGGAGCCUGUUCUGUAAUCGAUAGUCCACGAUUCACCCAACCACCCCUUGCCAACACAGCCUACAUACCGCCGUCGCCAGCUCACCUAAAAUGAAAGACCAACAGUGGGCCCAACAGUCAUACCACUAGCAAGACAGGUCAAGGUAUAGCCCAUGGGGUGGAAGAAAUGGGCUACAUUUUCUAACAUAGAAUAAACGAAAAAGGGCGUGA
rnacentral:rRNA from 1 species